CUUCGGUAACGCGCUGUGGUCGUUUUGUUUCAGGGCGUUUUUCGGCGUUACAGUGUUGUGGCUUGACCCAGCGACUCUGGAGCGCAAAUCUGCUGCAUUAUGCUGUAAGCGGAUCAAAGGGAGGGUAACAUACGAUGUCAUUGCUCGAAUGUCGGAGCUCGAAACUACGUUCACAGAAUAUAGGGUUCAGAACAAAGUCGUCAAAGUGAUCACUGACAACGGGUUGAACUUCCUAAAAGCCUUUCGGGUAUUUGGGACAGACGAUGAAGAGGAGUCUGAAGGGCAACAUCACGACCUGACGUCAAUUUUAGAUCAGGGGCAGCCGCUCCGCCUCCCAUCGCAUCAGAGGUGCGCCGCUCACACCCUUAAUUUGGUGGCAACAGUUGACAUCAAGGAAGAGGACGAAGCUCCAUCUUACCAUUUUCUCUCCAAAUCCGUUGCGGCCAAAUGUCAUAGCCUGUGGACUAAACAGAGUCAGUCCACCUUAGUGGCAGAUGUUAUUCACGAUCUAUGUGGCAGAUAUCUAGUUCUUCCUGUCGCCACCCGAUGGAACUCGCACCAGGAGGCGAUGCCCCCCCCCAGUGCAUCAAUGAGCUUCUCACGGAAAAGGCUGACGCUCUGGGGGAAGUUUUCCAGCGGCUGAAACUACCGGAAUUCCGCCGCCCCACCGAAUCUGAAUUUAUAAGCGAGCAGUGUCAGGUUUUGAAGCCUCUCGCGACUGCCCUGGAUAUACUACAGGCAGGAAACAAUACUAUGUACCUUGGGUACUUGCUUCCUACGUUGGCUGCCCUGAGAAGGAAGCUGAUGUUGCUCCCAACACUCUUCUACUGCGAAGCCUUGAGGACGGCCAUUUAAGUGGGAUACAGAAGCGGUUUGGAAACGCUAUGGAGGAUAAGUUCUUGGUAAUGAGCGCUAUCCUCGUUCCACGGUUCAAGCUGCACUGGGUAGCUGAGGCUCAGGAAGCCUAAAGCGAGAGCUUGCGCAGGCUUCGCGCACAGACGUCGCGCCGUCAAAGGAAGCUUCCGUCUCCGGAGAUAGCGAGGAUUUCUUUUCCUUCACAGGCAGCGACUUCGGCUCAAUGGUCGAAAAAAACAGAGGACAGGAGCUGAACAGAUACCUGGACGAUGAGCUCACAGACGUCACUGCCGUUCUCAGAUACCCAAAUAUCUGUGAACUUUUCUUGAAGUACAAUGCUGGUGUGCCGUCGAGUGCAUCUGUGAAGCGAUUGUUCAUUGUUGCAGGAAAUGUUUUUCAAAGGAUGAGAGGACGGUUGUCCGAUGAGCACUUCGAAAUGCAGCUGCUCCUGCGUGCAAAUAAAGCAUAUGCCUGAUUUGCAGGCAUAUUUUGACGCUUCUGUGGCCGUUUAUUUUUUAAGUAUCUUAUAAGUAUCUUAAAUGCAUUUCAUAGUAUUUACUACUCUACUCUAAAUGCUUUCAUUUCUAACACUCUUUACUCUAUUUUAGAUACAUUUCUAACUACGUAUUUAGUAACGUAUUUUAAAUACUUUUUUGUUGUAUCUUCUAAAUGUAAUUGUAAUAUUCCUUUAUUCACAAAGAUGUGAAAAGGAGCGAGCAAAAAGCUUCACUUGAAGCUUGACGAGGCUCGUCUCCUACAACAGUACAGCAGCAAAGGCGUACACAUUAACAAUGUAAAGAAUUUCAUCGAUGAAUAGUAUUUACAAACACAAAAGGACGGUAACGCCCUUU